GCGAUUCCACCAAAAAAAUCUCCAAAUCCAAGCCAUUGACCGUGUGCCGCCGUUCUCCGCCGUUCCUAGCUCCGGUAAGUUCCAAAAAAGUCCACACUAUUUUGAGAUUCAGUGUAAUCAUUUAUAUCACGACGAUAGGUUGUUGUGAAUUACAAGGCAAGUGAUGAUUCUAUUAGUUGUUGAAACCAAAAGUUUUAACCGCGAUGUUUACUGUAAACUUGUUUGCCAGCUUCUUCUGAAGCUUAAAGAUACCUGGUCCAAGUGUUGUAGCAAGAUGUCUUACGUUUUUUGAGCUUUCUAUAGGGGAAUUCGUGGAUCUAAGUGACUUCCCGGAUUACGCGGUAACAUGGGUCAGACUACCAGUAGGGAUGGCACAAAUAUAUUUAAAUUUGGAGUUGAUAGGUGGGUGUAGGGAGGAUACAUUAUCAACGUGCAUUUAGGAACACCUAAGAGGUAUGAGGGUUGAGGGUUUUAAAAUUUAGGAACACCUUAGAAAUGGGUGAUUAGGAGUUUUAAAAUAAGUGCUAAGUGGGUGGAAGAGACAGUAUUUGUUCCAGGGGUGGGGGAAGGAGGGGAAAUUAAUUUGUUGAAAGUACAAUUUACAAAUAGAUUUUAAAUUACGAGAGUACAAUUUUUGGCAACCAAAACUACAUGGCCGAAAAGACUACUUUACUUUUCAUUAGUAAAUGACUGAGAAUUGCUGUUCAUUUGUGAAGAUGUUAUGCUCCUUAACUUGGAAGUGGUGCAAAAUAUUUUUGUAUUGCAAUCUAUGACCUAGGAACUAAUCACUUUCACCUUUUUCUUCUAUUUCCUAUUGUUUAUGUUCUUUUGUUAUCAACAGAUAUUAUUUGACUUUGUUGACAAUCCUGCAUUCUUGUUUUAUCAUUAAUCUUCAGUCUAUAAUGUCUCAUCAAUCAAUUCCUAAAGGUUUUAAUUAGCAUAUCUUAGCCCCUAAUCUCUUAUUUUUCCUCCCUUAAGUUGUAAUAUGUAUCCAACCCUAGAGUAUCCUUUUCAAUUGUUCUUCUUUGUUACAUUUAUACCUGACAAAAGAUUAAAAUUAGAAGUUAGAUUCAGUGUAGGCUUUUGCAUCUUGAAUGAUGAUGUCAAUGUUGUCAGUAAAACCUCAAUGUUGUCAAUAAAAAUACGAGUAAAUAAGGAUGACUAGACAUUUAUUAUUUUGCGUAAUGAUCAAGAUUUUUUAAUUCUACAUGCCUAGUGUGUAGCUUGAAAUUUGAUGUUAUCGUUUGACAAAAUCUGAAUUAAGGAAAAGAAUUGCUUUGCUAUUUUUCCAGUGAUCGCUUGUCGCUUUGACUUUAAUUUAGGCCAAGCAAAGGUAAGUUGACUUCUCUCUAAUUUGUUAUAAUAAAGUGUUGUUUUUUUUCAUAUGGAAGUCUAGUUAAGCCGUGUGUGGCCUUGUGUGAUUCACUAGCAUUGUUGUUAUCUUCUUUUUAUUGUUCAUAUUGAAGUCUAGUGAAGCCGUGUGUGGCUUUGUGCGAUUCACUAGCAUUGUUGUUGAUUGUUUGUUGAAUGUGCUUUCUUAGACGACUUAGUUGUGUGAAAAUGGUUAAGUUUAUGGUUUGUUAGGUGACUUAGUCACUUGAAAAUGGUAAAGUGUUGGAACCUUAAAAGGGAUUUUAGUGUUUUGAAUAUGGUUUGUUAGGUGACUUAGUCACUUCAAAAUGGUUAAGUAUAGGGAUUUUGAAGGUGAUUUUUGUAUUUUGAAUAAGUUUUGUUAGGUGAAUUAUUCAGUUUGAAAAUGGUUAAGUAAAGGGACUUUAAAGGUGAUUUUUGUGUCUUAGUCACUAGAAAAUGGUUAAGUAUAGGGAUUUUCAAGGUGAUUUUUGUGUUUAGAAUUUGUGUUGGUAAGUGACUUAGUCACUAGAAAAUGGUUAAGUAUAGGAAUUUUGAAGGUGAUUUUUGUGUUUUGAAUGUGAGUUUGUUAGGUGAAUUAUUCACUUGAAAAUGGUUAAGUAUAGGUACUUUAAAGGUGAUUUUUGUGUUUUGAAUGUCAGUUGGUAAGUGACUAGGUCACUAGAAAAUGGUUAAGUAUAGGAAUUUUGAAGGUGAUUUUUGUGUUUUGAAUAUGGUUUGUUAGGUGACUAAUUCACUUUGAAAAUGGUUAAGUAUAGGAACUUUAUAGGUGAUUUUUGUGUUUUGAAUAUGGUUUGUUAGGUGAAUUAUUCACUUGAAAAUGGUUAAGUAUAGGGACUUUAAAGGUGAUUUUUGUGUUUUGAAUAAUGGUUUGUUAGGUGACUUAAGUCACUAGAAAAUGGUUAAGUAUAGGGAUUUUGAAGGUGAUUUUUGUGUUUUGAAUAUGGUUUGUUAGGUGACUAAGUCACUAGAAAAUGGUUAAGUAUAGGGAUUUUGAAGGUGAUUUUUGUGUUUUGAAUAUGGUUUGUUAGGUGACUAAGUCACUAGAAAAUGGUUAAGUAUAGGGAUUUUGAAGGUGAUUUUUGUGUUUUGAAUAUGGUUUGUUAGGUGACUAAGUCACUAGAAAAUGGUUAAGUAUAGGGAUUUUGAAGGUGAUUUUUGUGUUUUGAAUAUGGUUUGUUAGGUGACUAAGUCACUAGAAAAUGGUUAAGUAUAGGGAUUUUGAAGGUGAUUUUUGUGUUUUGAAUAUGGUUUGUUAGGUGACUAAGUCACUAGAAAAUGGUUAAGUAUAGGGAUUUUGAAGGUGAUUUUUGUGUUUUGAAUAUGGUUUGUUAGGUGACUAAGUCACUAGAAAAUGGUUAAGUAUAGGGAUUUUGAAGGUGAUUUUUGUGUUUUGAAUAUGGUUUGUUAGGUGACUAAGUCACUAGAAAAUGGUUAAGUAUAGGGAUUUUGAAGGUGAUUUUUGUGUUUUGAAUAUGGUUUGUUAGGUGACUAAGUCACUAGAAAAUGGUUAAGUAUAGGGAUUUUGAAGGUGAUUUUUGUGUUUUGAAUAUGGUUUGUUAGGUGACUAAGUCACUAGAAAAUGGUUAAGUAUAGGGAUUUUGAAGGUGAUUUUUGUGUUUUGAAUAUGGUUUGUUAGGUGACUAAGUCACUAGAAAAUGGUUAAGUAUAGGGAUUUUGAAGGUGAUUUUUGUGUUUUGAAUAUGGUUUGUUAGGUGACUAAGUCACUAGAAAAUGGUUAAGUAUAGGGAUUUUGAAGGUGAUUUUUGUGUUUUGAAUAUGGUUUGUUAGGUGACUAAGUCACUAGAAAAUGGUUAAGUAUAGGGAUUUUGAAGGUGAUUUUUGUGUUUUGAAUAUGGUUUGUUAGGUGACUAAGUCACUAGAAAAUGGUUAAGUAUAGGGAUUUUGAAGGUGAUUUUUGUGUUUUGAAUAUGGUUUGUUAGGUGACUAAGUCACUAGAAAAUGGUUAAGUAUAGGGAUUUUGAAGGUGAUUUUUGUGUUUUGAAUAUGGUUUGUUAGGUGACUAAGUCACUAGAAAAUGGUUAAGUAUAGGGAUUUUGAAGGUGAUUUUUGUGUUUUGAAUAUGGUUUGUUAGGUGACUAAGUCACUAGAAAAUGGUUAAGUAUAGGGAUUUUGAAGGUGAUUUUUGUGUUUUGAAUAUGGUUUGUUAGGUGACUAAGUCACUAGAAAAUGGUUAAGUAUAGGGAUUUUGAAGGUGAUUUUUGUGUUUUGAAUAUGGUUUGUUAGGUGACUAAGUCACUAGAAAAUGGUUAAGUAUAGGGAUUUUGAAGGUGAUUUUUGUGUUUUGAAUAUGGUUUGUUAGGUGACUAAGUCACUAGAAAAUGGUUAAGUAUAGGGAUUUUGAAGGUGAUUUUUGUGUUUUGAAUAUGGUUUGUUAGGUGACUAAGUCACUAGAAAAUGGUUAAGUAUAGGGAUUUUGAAGGUGAUUUUUGUGUUUUGAAUAUGGUUUGUUAGGUGACUAAGUCACUAGAAAAUGGUUAAGUAUAGGGAUUUUGAAGGUGAUUUUUGUGUUUUGAAUAUGGUUUGUUAGGUGACUAAGUCACUAGAAAAUGGUUAAGUAUAGGGAUUUUGAAGGUGAUUUUUGUGUUUUGAAUAUGGUUUGUUAGGUGAAUUAUUCACUUGAAAAUGGUUAAGUAUAGGGACUUUAAAGGUGAUUUUUGUGUUUUGAAUGUGAGUUGGUAAGUGACUAAGUCACUUGAAAAUGGUUAAGUAUGAGUACUUUAAAGGUGAUUUUUGUGUUUUGAAUGUGAGUUGUUAGGUGAAUUAUUCACUUGAAAAUGGUUAAGUAUAUAGACUUUAAAGGUGAUUUUUGUGUUUUGAAUAUGGUUUGUUAGGUGAAUUAUUCACGUGAAAAUAGUUAAGUAAAUGGACUCUAAAGGUGAUUUUUGUGUUUAGAAUUUGUGUUGGUAAGUGACUUAGUCACUAGAAAAUGGUUAAGUAUAGGGAUUUUGAAGGUGAUUUUUGUGUUUGUGAUUUCAUCUAAUUAGUUGUAUCUGAUUGAUUGCGUAGAUGGAACCUGAUUAUAGUUGGAUAUAUCAACGGAACAAUGAUAAUAGAGCGGGUAUUAGGGAGGAACUUGUUGAAGGUAUCAAAAGAUUUGUUGAACAUGCUAAGACACUCGAUAUGUGGACACGUUAUCGAGUUAUUCGCUGUCCUUGUGUUAGAUGUGAUGGUAUAAAUCUUGUAAGUGAAGAAGAUGUGAAGGAACAUCUUUAUAAAAAGGGGUUUGCUAACGCGCCAGUACGACCCUCAUAUUCUAGGUUGUAAGAGUAUUCGAUACCUGCUCCUAUGCAUGGGGGGCCACUACAUGGGUCUGCACCGACUCAUUCUGCUCCUAUGACCGUGCUACCUCCAGCAAAGUACUAUCGUACAGACGUUGGCCUCUCCAGACAUGUACCAUCAUCGAUAUCCUCCUGCUGCAGUCACGCAGCUUCGCACAGUAAUUCUGCGGGAUCUAUUGGGUUGUCGGAUCUUCGGCUUGGAGGCACUCCAUCUGGUGCUUCAGAUCCACCCACGCCAGUGCAUCCACCAACACUUAUUAUGCAGCUAGGAGACAAAGAUGAUUCUGAGAGGAUUUAUCUUGUUCCAGUUGGGAAAGAG
rnacentral:lncRNA from 1 species